GUCACACUGGAAAAGAUGCUCUGGAGUCUUCUUGCCAGCGUUCACCUGCUGCAGCGAUGCCAGCCCCGCCUGGAGCACACACGGCCUGGUCCUGCUGGGCCCGCCUGCCURGAGCUCACCAAGAACCAAGUCCACCAGAAGCAGGAAGUCUGGGUGGUGGCCAGGUCUCCAUCUCCAGGGCCAKGGACGGUUGGAUCAGCACAUUUUGAGGGCCAUUUUGUGAAGGGCAGAGUAUGACAACUGAAUUGUCUUUUUAAAAGUUCCUGGAGCCCAAGAGUGUUUCAACUCCUGACUGUGGACUGUCAGCUAUUCAAGGGCAUGGGUUGUGUUGAGUCAUCUCUGUGCUCACAGUUCAGGAACAGCAGUCCUCCAUGAAGGCUGAUCCCACCGCCAUGUGCAACAGAGACCCUGKUUGCUGCUGAUGAUUUUGCAUGCACUUCAGUGUGUCUUGGCCCUGAAAUUUCCUGGGAGGAGAAAGCCUUGGGAAUCAACUCACCCUCCUGCCCUACUAUAUAGGCUUUCAGCAGCUGUUGACACGAUACAUUUGCCAGUGUCUGUGGUGAGUGAUUUCCUGAUGCAUCUGAGAAGAAACACAAUGGGGCAGAAAGAGUGUCACCCCAGGAGCCCAGCAGCAGGAUCCAGUCCCCAAACAGCUAUUGUUGUGGAACUGGGACCAAGUCACACUCUUGUGUCAUCUUGAACUGAUACAAAAUGAAAAGGUUUGAUGAUUUCAGGUGAUCUUCCUGCCCUGGAUUU